rnacentral:rRNA from 1 species
GACGAACGCUGGCGGCGUGCCUAAUACAUGCAAGUUGAGCGCUGAAGGUUGGUACUUGUACCAACUGGAUGAGCAGCGAACGGGUGAGUAACGCGUGGGGAAUCUGCCUUUGAGCAGGGGACAACAUUUGGAAACGAAUGCUAAUACCGCAUAAAAACUUUAAACACAAGUUUUAAGUUUGAAAGAUGCAAUUGCAUCACUCAAAGAUGAUCCCGCGUUGUAUUAGCUAGUUGGUGAGGUAAAGGCUCACCAAGGCGAUGAUACAUAGCCGACCUGAGAGGGUGAUCGGCCACAUUGGGACUGAGACACGGCCCAAACUCCUACGGGAGGCAGCAGUAGGGAAUCUUCGGCAAUGGACGAAAGUCUGACCGAGCAACGCCGCGUGAGUGAAGAAGGUUGUCGGAUCGUAAAACUCUGUUGGUAGAGAAGAACGUUGGUGAGAGUGGAAAGCUCACCAAGUGACGGUAACUACACAGAAAGGGACGGCUAACUACGUG